UCGCAGGGUUAUGGGGUAGCCUCUCCUAGGCUUUGUCUGUGUAGUAAACUUAGACAUAGCCUAACUGAGGUUAACUCUGACCUGGUAUA
rnacentral:pre_miRNA from 14 species